UAAUGUAGAACUGGAUGUACUUGUCGA
rnacentral:sRNA from 1 species